CACCCAUCCAACCCCCGCGCCCACCCUAUUGAUGCCCUCCCCACGCCGGGGUCCCACCACCCGGCAGAGCACCGAGCAAGCUGCGCUCACCUUGCUUGACACACUUGAGCCGGAGGGGGUCCUUGCAGUGUUUGAUCACGGCCAGAACAUCCCUGAUGGUGAGCCCCGCCACGGGGGUCUCGUUCACCUCCAGCAGCAGCUCCUCGGACACCAACUUGCUGCCGCUUUCAUAGGCCACCUUGCCCGGCUUCACCUCCCCCAGCUCUCAGUGAAAGCUCAGGAAGGAGCUAUGGUGUGAUCCGAGUGUUUUACAAGCAUGAAGAUCAAAUCUGGUCUAGAAGAAGGAGGAAGAUGAAAGACAGAGGGACCCGGAUUCUCUUUCUCCAUUUGUCAUGUUUAGAAGAUAACUGUUAUAAAGUUAAGCUGCAGAGCCGGAGUUCUAUUUCAUGAGCAUAAAUGCAUUACCGUCCAAGCCAUGUCCAUCAAAGCAGGAAGCCGCCAUUUGAGUGAAUUGAUCUGCAGGAGGCACAGACACCUAAUGCUGCCCGUGAAAUUGCAGAAAAGAUAUUCAGAUUGCUUUGUUUUAUUUUGGUAUAGCUGACCAUUUAUGAUAUUUUAAUUUCUAGACUUUGAAGUAAAUUGUAUUACUUCAAUUUUUAAUAAUGCAAUGAAUUUCAUUAUUUUCUCAUAUAUAUUCCAUUAAUAUGGUGUAGUGAUGCAUUUAUUUUAAACAUAAUAUGAUGAA
rnacentral:lncRNA from 1 species